CAUGGGUGAAAGCCUGAUCCAGCCAUCCCGCGUGAAGGACGACGGCCCUACGGGUUGUAAACUUCUUUUAUAUAGGAAUAAACCUAGAUACGUGUAUCUAGCUGAAGGUACUAUAUGAAUAAGCACCGGCUAACUCCGUGCCAGCAGCCGCGGUAAUACGAUACG
rnacentral:rRNA from 1 species